GAGGCACAUGGCAGUGACUGGGGAACUAUUACCCUGGGAAACUAUUGAUUGGAAAAAGCCACUGAAGGUGGAUAGCAGGCCGGAGCCAUGAGGAAAGAGGAAGCAGGGAAGGCGGAGCCGUCCAUAAGGCCGCUGCCCUGAACACGUGAAGCCGCUUUGGAAGGGAAGAGCCCAGGUGAAGCCUGCUCCAGGCCAGAGCCAGCAAGCCCAGCAGGGACUUCAGAGCAGUGCUCCCCAAAGGAGACCCACAGAGCAUCAGUGCAGAGAGACGCUCUGUGAGGAGAAGGGGGUCUGUGGUCAGAUUUAGGGGUGCUGUAUCUACUCCUGGGUUGAAGACUCUCAAAGAAUAUUAGCAUAAUGUGGCCUCCCAGACGUCCUGCAGCAAAGAAACCCAUUUAACAUUGACUCAUCCAGUGGUUCCUAAACUCAUUCGGUCACGGACCCCCUUUUUACCAUCUAACAGCCCACGGAGACCUAGAGAGCGCUUUAGGGGAGACAGGUGCUUUAGAGGAAUGAAAUAUCGGGAUGAUUUCAAAGAGGCACUUCUCAAGCCUAUAGAUGGAAACUGAGGCAGAGACGGUACUGACAGAGUUAUGCUCUUGACAGAAAACUUUCAGCUGGAAAGGCGGUGCAGGGUCUCUGAGUGACGAGUAUCUUCAGCAGGAGGGAGACCCAAGCUAUGAGGGCCUGUCCAAACUCUCGUCCACCCGGCACCUUACAGGCUUCCAAACCCACAGGCCCAAAGUGAGGACAAACAUUGCAGGAAGUGGGCAAUAGUCAUGAUCUCACCGCUCCCCGAGUUCGAGCCCCACGUC